rnacentral:rRNA from 1 species
UUUCAGAGAUGAGAAUGUGCCUUCGGGAACCGUGAGACAGGUGCUGCAUGGCUGUCGUCAGCUCGUGUUGUGAAAUGUUGGGUUAAGUCCCGCAACGAGCGCAACCCUUAUCCUUUGUUGCCAGCGGUCCGGCCGGGAACUCAAAGGAGACUGCCAGUGAUAAACUGGAGGAAGGUGGGGAUGACGUCAAGUCAUCAUGGCCCUUACGACCAGGGCUACACACGUGCUACAAUGGCGCAUACAAAGAGAAGCGACCUCGCGAGAGCAAGCGGACCUCAUAAAGUGCGUCGUAGUCCGGAUUGGAGUCUGCAACUCGACUCCAUGAAGUCGGAAUCGCUAGUAAUCGUGGAUCAGAAUGCCACGGUGAAUACGUUCCCGGGCCUUGUACACACCGCCCGUCACACCAUGGGAGUGGGUUGCAAAAGAAGUAGGUAGCUUAACCUUCGGGAGGGCGCUUACCACUUUGUGAUUCAUGACUGGGGUGAAGUCGUAACAAGGUAACCGUAGGGGAACCUGCGGUUGGAUCA